rnacentral:rRNA from 1 species
UUGGUUAAGUUAGAAAGGGCGCACGGUGGAUGCCUUGGCACUAGGAGCCGAAGAAGGACGGGACUAACACCGAUAUGCUUUGGGGAGCUGUACGUAAGCGUUGAUCCAGAGAUUUCCGAAUGGGGGAACCCACUAUCUUUAGUCGGAUAGUAUCCUUACGUGAAUACAUAGCGUGAGGAAGGCAGACCCAGGGAACUGAAACAUCUAAGUACCUGGAGGAAGAGAAAGAAAAAUCGAUUUCCUGAGUAGCGGCGAGCGAAACGGAAAGAGCCCAAACCAAGAAGCUUGCUUCUUGGGGUUGUAGGACACUCUAUACGGAGUUACAAAAGAAAGUUAUAAAUGAAGCGGUCUGGAAAGGCCCGCCAAAGACGGUAACAGCCCGGUAGUUGAAAUGGCUUUCCCUCCAGAGUGGAUCCUGAGUACGGCGGAACACGUGAAAUUCCGUCGGAAUCCGGGAGGACCAUCUCCCAAGGCUAAAUACUCCCUAGUGACCGAUAGUGAACCAGUACCGUGAGGGAAAGGUGAAAAGCACCCCGGAAGGGGAGUGAAACAGUUCCUGAAACCGUGUGCCUACAAGUAGUUAGAGCCCGUUAAUGGGUGAUAGCGUGCCUUUUGUAGAAUGAACCGGCGAGUUACGAUUUGUUGCAAGGUUAAGCGGAAAAAGCGGAGCCGUAGCGAAAGCGAGUCUGAAUAGGGCGCAUAAGUAACAGGUCGUAGACCCGAAACCAGGUGAUCUACCCAUGUCCAGGAUGAAGGUAAGGUAAUACUUACUGGAGGUCCGAACCCACGCACGUUGAAAAGUGCGGGGAUGAGGUGUGGGUAGCGGAGAAAUUCCAAUCGAACUUGGAGAUAGCUGGUUCUCUCCGAAAUAGCUUUAGGGCUAGCCUCGAGGUAAAGAGUCAUGGAGGUAGAGCA